AGGUGUAUAGCUCAGUGGUAGAGCCCCUCCCUUGGUAUUUAAGAAACAGUUUAGACACCAAGGAGACGGUCAUUGGUUCAAAUCCAAUUACACCUACAA
rnacentral:tRNA from 1 species